rnacentral:pre_miRNA from 1 species
UGAUGAUGAUGAUGAUGAUGAUGGUGGUGGUGAUGGUGAUGAUGAUGGCGGUGGUGAUGAACAUUAACGACAUCGUCGUCAUCAUCAUCAUUAUCU